rnacentral:rRNA from 1 species
CAGUCGCCGCGGUAAUACAGAGGGUGCAAGCGUUAAUCGGAAUUACUGGGCGUAAAGCGCGCGUAGGUGGUUUGUUAAGUUGGAUGUGAAAUCCAUGAGCUUAACUUAGGAAUUGCAUUCGAUACUGGGAAGCUAGAGUAUGGGAGAGGAUGGUAGAAUUCCAGGUGUAGCGGUGAAAUGCGUAGAGAUCUGGAGGAAUACCGAUGGCGAAGGCAGCCAUCUGGCCUAAUACUGACGCUGAGGUACGAAAGCAUGGGGAGCAAACAGGAUUAGAUACCCCCGUAGUCCCUGUCUCUUAUAC